rnacentral:rRNA from 1 species
CCUACGGGAGGCAGCAGUAGGGAAUUUUCCACAAUGGGCGAAAGCCUGAUGGAGCAAUACCGCGUGCAGGAUGAAGGCCUUCGGGUCGUAAACUGCUUUUAUGUGCGAAGAAUUUGACGGUAACACAUGAAUAAGGAUCGGCUAACUACGUGCCAGCAGCCGCGGUCAUACGUAGGAUCCAAGCGUUAUCCGGAAUUACUGGGCGUAAAGAGUUGCGUAGGUGGCAUUAUAAGUGGAGCGUGAAAGCGUGCGGCUCAACCGCAUUAUUGCGUUCCAAACUGUGAAGCUUGAGUAUGGGAGAGGUAGAUGGAAUUUCUAGUGUAGGAGUGAAAUCCGUAGAUAUUAGAAGGAACACCGAUGGCGUAGGCAGUCUACUGGCCCAUUACUGACACUAAGGCACGAAAGCGUGGGGAGCAAACGGGAUUAGAUACCCCGGUAGUCCACGCUGUAAACUAUGAUGNUAGCUGUGACACACAUACGACUCGUGUGU